rfam:Amborella trichopoda AMTR_V1.0_contig_38391, whole genome shotgun sequence.
UACCUGGUUGAUCCUACCAGUAGUCAUAUGCUUGUCUCAAAGAUUAACCCAUGCAUGUGUAAGUAUGAACUAAUUCAGACUGUGAAACUGCGAAAGGCUCAUUAAAUCAUUUAUAGUUUGUUCGAUGGUACCUGCCACUCGGAUAACUAUAGUAAUUCUAGUGCUAAUACGUGCAAGAAAUCCCGACCUCUGUAAGGGAUGCAUUUAUUAGAUAAAAGGCCAGCGCGGGCUUUGCCCGAUGCUUUGGCGAAUCAUGAUAACUCGAUGGAUCGCACGGCCAUUGUGUUGGCGACGCAUCAUUCAAAUUUUUGCCCUAUCAACUUUUGAUGGUAGGAUAGGGGCCUAUCAUGGUGGUGACGGGUGACAGAGAAUUAGGGUUCGAUUCCGGAGAGGGAGCCUGAGAAACGGCUACCACAUCCAAGGUAGGCUGCAGGCGUGCAAAUUACCCAAUCCUGACACGGGGAGGUAGUGACAAUAAAUAACAAUACCGGGCUUCAAGAGUCUGGUAAUUGGAAUGAGUACAUUCUAAACCCCUUAAUGAGGAUCCAUUGGUGGUCAAGUUUGGUGCCAGCAGCCGCGAUAAUUCCAGCUCCAAUAGCGUAGAUUUAAGUUGUUGCAGUUAAAAUGCUCGUAGUUGGAUCUUGAGCUGGGCCGACCGGUCCGCCUUCAUGGUGUGCACCGGCCGUCCCGCCCCUUCACCCGGCAAUGUGUUCCUGAACUUAACCUGCCGAGUCAUGCCUCCGGCACCAUUACUUUGAAGAAAUUAGAGUGCUCAAAGCAAGCCUAAGCUCUGAAUACAUUAGCAUGGGAUAACAUCACAGGAUUUCGGUCCUAUUGUGUUGGCCUUCGAGAUCGGAGUAAUGAUUAAGAGGGACAGUCGGGGGCAUUAGUAUUUCAUAGUCAGAGGUGAAAUUCUUGGAUUUACGAAAGACGAACCACUGCAAAAGCAUUUGUCAAGGAUGUUUUCAUUAAUCAAGAAAGAAAGUUGGGGGCUCGAAGACAAUUAGAUAUCGUCCUAGUCUCAACCAUAAACGACGGCGACCAGGGAUCGACGGAUGUUGCUCUUAGGACUCCAUCGGCACCUUAUGAGAAAUCAAAGUCUUUGGGUUCCGGGGGGAGUGUGGUCGCAAGGCUGAAACUUAGAGGAAUUGACGGAAGGGCACCACCUGGAGUGGAGCCUGCGGCUUAAUUUGACUCAACACGGGGAAACUUACCAGCUCUAGACAUAGCAAGGAUUGAAAGACUGAGAGCUCUUUCUUGAUUCUAUGGGUGGUGGUGCCUGGCCGUUCUUAGUUGGUGGAGCGAUUUGUCUAGUUAAUUCUCUGCCUGCUAACUAGCUACGUGGAGGUAUCCUCCAUGGUCAGCUUCUUAGAGGGACUAUGGCCGUUUAGGCCAUGGAAGUUUGAGGCAAUAACAGGUCUGUGAUGCCCUUAAAUGUUUUGGGCCGCACAUGCGCUACACUGAUGUAUUCAACGAGUAUAUGGCCUUGCCCGAUAGGCCCGAGUAAUCUGUUGAAAUUUCAUCGUGAUGGGGAUAGAUCAUUGCAAUUGUUGGUCUUCAACGAGGAAUUCUUAGUAAGUGCGAGUCAUCUGCUCACGUUGACUACGUCCCUGCCCUUUGUUCACACCGCCCGUCGCUCCUAGCGAUUGAAUGGUCUGGUAAAGUGUUCAGAUCGCGGUGACGGAGGCUAUCCACAGCUGGCGACGUCGCGAGAAGUCCACUGAACCUUAUCAUUUAGAGGAAGGAGCAGUCGUAACAAGGUUUCCGUAGGUGAAUCUACAGAAGGAUCAAUG